UGUCUCCUCCACCUCCUCCUUUGGUGGAUUCUUACCCGGGCCGAUGAUCAUCAUCCGCCCGGGUAUUUUUUU
rnacentral:ncRNA from 5 species